GAGGGUAUAGCUCAGUGGUAGAAUUCAUGCUUAGCAUGCAUGAGGUCCUGGGCUCAAUCCCCCAGUACCUUCA
rnacentral:tRNA from 1 species